CGUGCGGCCUUCUGCGGCCCGUGACCGCGGGGUGAGGCCGUCCCGCCUCGGAGCUGCGCUGCUGAAGGAAGGGGAGAGCGCCGAGGUGUUGUCAGGGCCUCGGCUUCCCGUGGAUGAGCUGUGCAGAUUUUAUGUAAAGUUGCAACAAAGGGUGCGUGGCAGGUGAGGAAGGAAACUGAAGUCAAGUGACUGUUGCAGGUGUUCGGAGCAGCACGUUGCUACUGCCGCUGUUGUGAAGAGCCACUCAAGAAAACUUAACCUCUCUGUGUCUCGAGGAAGGAAUUUAAGGCGCUGUGCCCAGCUCUUGCUAGAGCCAUUGCCCCAAACCUGCUGAGAAGCUGGCAGACAGAAAGCCAACCAAGCCUAGUCUUCACCAGGCCUACCACUGGUUCCAUUAAACCAGUAGGAACACAUUUUGAUGAAGCUCUUCGCCAGCAACACUUAAAGCAGACAGGUGUUUGGCUUGGAGCAUUGCUUGGAAAGACUGCAUGUGAGUAUUAGCUCCGCUUCCUGAGGCUCCAAGUGAUUAAUCUACAUACGGGGAUCCAGAGCAGUGCUGAAGACUUGUCUAACAGCUUUAAGCUUCUCCUAUAUGAUGAGUAGGAACCACAAGAUGGUUUGUCUCCAGGACUAUUAUGCUAUCUGCACAGCUCUAGAUCAUUUGAGACCUGCAAAGAGACCCCCACAGAACACACCAGAACAUCAACUGGCCGCAGUGCUUAACAGCAGCUCGGAAGAAAGCUGCCAAGUUGAAGAGGAGCGAGCCUCUGCAAGUAUGUUUGUUGGUCCUUGAUGUCCAGCUCUCCCCUGCUCUCAUUCAGAGAGUCCCUUCCCAAGAGAACCCGGUUUGCUGGAUGCAGCAGCUUCCCACACCUUGAGCACCAGCUCAGAGACUGCAUUUUGCCUGCCUCCCUGCCAUUCUGCAACAGUAUUUUAGGCAUGUGGUGAGAAGCAUGCUGCCGUGGAUCAGCCAGAGGGAACAGUCUCCUGUCUGGCUGUAAAGCAAAUCCAAAUCCUUAGGUCAAACACUCUGAUCAAGCAGGAAGGAGAAGGAAGCAGGGGGCUUCCCUGGGGUUUUUGCUCCACCAGCAUGGGGAAAAACCCUC